CAAGAAGUUCAUGUUUAAAUUGUUCUUCUUUCUGUCUUCAAGGAAAUCAAUGCUCAAAGGAAACAACAGUCCAGACUCCGAUGCCCGCUCCGAAGAUGCCCUCAGAUUCAGAUCCAUCAGCAACCCCUGACAACAUGGAGGACUCGUCCCCUGAGCGUUUCCUGUCCUCUCUCGAUGGCGUUCUUCUCUUCAGUUAUUAACUCUUGAAAACAGCAGCACAACAUGCCAGACUGUUUGACAAGUCUGUGAUUGAAUAAAUGGAAAUGGAAUCUCA